UUUACUUGGUUAAGGCAUAAGUGUCGCAUAUCAGGCGGCUUAAUCAUGUUUAAUCAAGCAAAUCCGAAGUGGAUCCACCACAGCAUCUCCUCACCAGGAUCCCCAGCCGUGCCCCAACGCUUUCUGGCUUUUCUGUCGUACCUCAGUCGCGCUGCCCACGCGCGUCCCGCGACGAUACCGCCUUCGCCAACCACCGCGCAUGCAGUGACAACUCCUUUUCCCCACGCCUCACUAGCGUGUGCCGUGGCAGAGCUGCUAGUCCGUGCAUGCUCGCGUCGCAUCGCUCGCCC
rnacentral:lncRNA from 1 species